CCCUUAGAUGUUCUGAACCGCACGCGUGUUACACUGAUGCAUUCAACGAGCUUUACCUUGGCCGAGAGGCCUGGGAAAUCUUUUUAGCAUGCAUCGUGAUAGGGAUUGAUUAUUGCAAUUAUUAAUCAUGAACGAGGAAUUCCUAGUAAACGCAUUUCAUCAAAAUGCAUUGAUUACGUCCCUGCCCUUUGUACACACCGCCCGUCGCACCUACCGAUUGAAUGGUCCGGUGAAGCCUCCGGAUUGGCGCGCACCUCGGUGCCGCCGAGAAGUUGGCUAAACCUUACCAUUUAGAGGAAGGUGAAGUCGUAACA
rnacentral:rRNA from 1 species